GAGUUUGAUCGUGGCUCAGAUUGAACGCUGGCGGCAUGCCUUACACAUGCAAGUCGAGCGGCAGCGCGGGGGCAACCCUGGCGGCGAGCGGCGAACGGGUGAGUAAUACAUCGGAACGUGUCCUGUCGUGGGGGAUAACCAGUCGAAAGAUUGGCUAAUACCGCAUGACCUCGUAAGAGAAAAGCGGGGGACCGUAAGGCCUCGCGCGACUGGAGCGGCCGAUGUCGGAUUAGCUAGUUGGCGGGGUAAAAGCCCACCAAGGCGACGAUCCGUAGCUGGUUUGAGAGAACGACCAGCCACACUGGGACUGAGACACGGCCCAGACUCCUACGGGAGGCAGCAGUGGGGAAUUUUGGACAAUGGGGGCAACCCUGAUCCAGCCAUGCCGCGUGUGUGAAGAAGGCCUUCGGUUG
rnacentral:rRNA from 1 species